rnacentral:rRNA from 1 species
CAGAACGUCGUGAGACAGUUCGGUCUCUAUCCGUCGCGGGCGCAGGAGGUUGUGAAGGGGAGCUGUCCCUAGUACGAGAGGACCGGGAUGGACGGACCUACGGUGUACCGGUUGUCAAGAGUUGGCACCGCCGGGUAGCUGAGUCCGGAGUGGAUAACCGCUGAAAGCAUCUAAGCGGGAAGCCCACCCCAGGAUGAGACCUCCCUAUCAGGCCCCGGGUAGAUUACCCGGUGGAUAGGCCGCAGGUGUACGCGUGGCAACACGUUGAGCCGUAGCGGUACUAACGGCCGAUCGGCUUGCCCGCUCCAUUU